rnacentral:rRNA from 1 species
ACUCCUACGGGAGGCAGCAGUCGGGGAAUAUUGCACAAUGGGGGAAACCCUGAUGCAGCCAUGCCGCGUGUGUGAAGAAGGCCUUCGGGUUGUAAAGCACUUUCAGUAGGGAGGAAGGUAGGUNUAGUUAAACACCUGNACUAUUUGACGUUACCUACAGAAGAAGCACCGGCUAACUCCGUGCCAGCAGCCGCGGUAAUACGGAGGGUGCGAGCGUUAAUCGGAAUUACUGGGCGUAAAGCGCAUGCAGGCGGCCUGUU